AGUGAACGCUGGCGGUGGGCCUAACACAUGCAAGUCGAACGGCAGCACAGUAAGAGCUUGCUCUUACGGGUGGCGAGUGGCGGACGGGUGAGGAAUACAUCGGAAUCUACUUUUUCGUGGGGGAUAACGUAGGGAAACUUACGCUAAUACCGCAUACGACCUACGGGUAAAAGCAGGGGAUCUUCGGACCUUGCGCGAUUGAAUGAGCCGAUGUCGGAUUAGCUAGUUGGCGGGGUAAAGGCCCACCAAGGCGACGAUCCGUAGCUGGUCUGAGAGGAUGAAGGGCGACAAGGGAAGUGAAAACGGGUCCAGACGCCUACGGGAGGAAGCAGGAGGGAAGGGGCAGCAAGGGGCGAAAGCCUGACGGAGCAAUGCGGCGGGAGAGAGGAAGGUCUUGGGAGCGUAAAGCUCUGUUAUGAGAGAAGAAAAAAGGGGUAAGGAACCAUGCAGGUCUUGAGGGUACCGAAGCAGAAAGCCACGGCUAAGUACGUG
rnacentral:rRNA from 1 species